rnacentral:rRNA from 1 species
GACAGAGGUGGCAAGCGUUGUCCGGACUGACUGGGCGUAAAGCGCACGCAGGUGGCGCGGCAAGUGUGGUGUGAAAGCGCCCGGCUUAACCGGGCGAGGCCAUCGCAGACUGCCGUGCUCGAGCCAUGCAGAGGUCGGUGGAAUUGCCGGUGUAGUGGUGAAAUGCGUAGAGAUCGGCAGGAACACCAAGGGGGAAACCAGCCGACUGGGCAUGGGCUGACACUCAGGUGCGACAGCGUGGGGAGCGAACUGG